AACGUACGCUGGCGGCACGCCUAACACAUGCAAGUCGAACGAAGUAGCAAUACUUAGUGGCAGACGGGUGAGUAACAUGUGGGUAUCUGCCCUUUGGCCUGGAAUAACACGAGGAAACUUGUGCUAAUACCGGAUAAGUCUUUACGGAGAAAGCUUUAUGCACCAUUGGAUGAGCCCGCACUUGAUUAGUUUGUUGGUGGGGUAAUGGCCUACCAAGACUGUGAUCAAUAGCUGAUUUGAGAGGAUGAUCAGCCACAUUGGGACUGAGACACGGCCCAAACUCCUACGGGAGGCAGCAGUGGGGAAUCUUGCACAAUGGAGGAAACUCUGAUGCAGCGAUGCCGCGUGAGUGAAGAAGGCCCUUGGGUUGUAAAGCUCUUUCGUCGGGGAAGAAAAUGACUGUACCCGAAUAAGAAGGUCCGGCUAACUUCGUGCCAGCAGCCGCGGUAAUACGAAGGGACCUAGCGUAGUUCGGAAUUACUGGGCUUAAAGAGUUCGUAGGUGGUUGAAAAAGUUAGUGGUGAAAUCCCAGAGCUUAACUCUGGAACUGCCAUUAAAACUUUUCAGCUAGAGUAUGAUAGAGGAAAGCAGAAUUUCUAGUGUAGAGGUGAAAUUCGUAGAUAUUAGAAAGAAUACCAAUUGCGAAGGCAGCUUUCUGGAUCAUUACUGACACUGAGGAACGAAAGCAUGGGUAGCGAAGAGGAUUAGAUACCCUCGUAGUCCAUGCCGUAAACGAUGUGUGUUAGACGUUGGAAAUUUAUUUUCAGUGUCGCAGCGAAAGCGAUAAACACACCGCCUGGGGAGUACGACCGCAAGGUUAAAACUCAAAUGAAUUGACGGGGACCCGCACAAGUAGUGGAGCAUGUGGUUUAAUUCGAAGAUACGCGCAGAACCUUACCAACACUUGACAUGUUCGUCGCGACUCUAAGAGAUUAGAGUUUUCGGUUCGGCCGGACGAAACACAGGUGCUGCAUGGCUGUCGUCAGCUCGUGUCGUGAGAUGUUGGGUUAAGUCCCGCAACGAGCGCAACCCUCACUUUUAGUUGCCAUCAUUAAGUUGGGCACUCUGAAAGAACUGCCAGUGAUAAGCUGGAGGAAGGUGGGGAUGACGUCAAGUCCUCAUGGCCCUUACGUGUUGGGGCUACACACGUGCUACAAUGGUAUCUACAACAGGAAGCGAAGACUGCGAGGUCGAGCAAAUCCUUAAAAGAUACCUCAGUUUCGGAUUGCACUCUGCAACUCGAGUGCAUGAAGCUGGAAUUACUAGUAAUCGUGGAUCAGCGUGCCGCGGUGAAUGCGUUUCCCGGGUCU
rnacentral:rRNA from 1 species